rnacentral:rRNA from 1 species
GAUGAACGCUGGCGGCGUGCCUAAUACAUGCAAGUCGAGCGAACAGAUAAGGAGCUUGCUCCUUUGACGUUAGCGGCGGACGGGUGAGUAACACGUGGGUAACCUACCUAUAAGACUGGAAUAACUCCGGGAAACCGGGGCUAAUGCCGGAUAACAUUUAGAACCGCAUGGUUCUAAAGUGAAAGAUGGUUUUACUAUCACUUAUAGAUGGACCCGCGCCGUAUUAGCUAGUUGGUAAGGUAACGGCUUACCAAGGCAACGAUACGUAGCCGACCUGAAAGGGUGAUCGGCCACACUGGAACUGAGACACGGUCCAGACUCCUACGGGAGGCAGCAGUAGGGAAUCUUCCGCAAUGGGCGAAAGCCUGACGGAGCAACGCCGCGUGAGUGAUGAAGGUCUUCGGAUCGUAAAACUCUGUUAUUAGGGAAGAACAAAUGUGUAAGUAACUGUGCACGUCUUGACGGUACCUAAUCAGAAAGCCACGGCUAACUACGUG